rnacentral:rRNA from 1 species
CCCCCCCCCCCACAUAAGAGGUCCCACCUGCCCUGUGACCAACGUUUAACGGCCGCGGUAUUUUGACCGUGCAAAGGUAGCGCAAUCAAUUGUCUUUUAAAUGGAGACCUGUAUGAAUGGUAUUACGAGGGCCCGACUGUCUCUCGACCCCUGUCAGUGAAACUGAUCUGCCCGUGCAGAAGCGAGCAUUUCAAUACAAGACGAGAAGACCCUAUGGAGCUUUAGGCGCCCACCACCUGUAAUGAGCACUUGUUAUACUCAAGAUUCAACCCGCACAGCAAUGGCACAAACGCCUUCGGUUGGGGCGACCACGGGGGAAAAUGAAGCCCCCGAGCGGACCUACCCACCAGAGUUUAGGGCCACACCCCUGAACCACAGAACAUCUGACCGAAAAUGAUCCGGCCCACACCCGAUCAACGGACCAAGUUACCCUAGGGAUAACAGCGCAAUCCCCUCCCAGAGUCCCUAUCGACAAGGGGGUUUACGACCUCGAUGUUGGAUCAGGACAUCCUAAUGGUGCAGCCGCUAUUAAGGGUUCGUUUGUUCAACGAUUAAAGUCCU